rnacentral:snRNA from 1 species
AUACUCUUGUUUCUCUUCAGAGCGUAUAAAUCUUUCGCCUUUUACUAAAGAUUUCCGUGGAGAGGAACACUUUGAGUUCAAACUAAUUUUUUGAUGCUCUGCCUCGUGCGGGGCU